CGCGGCUGACAUGGCGGCCGGGCCGGACUGAGCCGCUGGCGUCGGGGCCUCCAGCAGCUGGAGCCGGGCAUGGCGGGGGCGCAGCCCCGGCACCCCUAGCGCCGCAGCCAGUAGACAAUCAGCUACGAUCCUUGCCUGUACAGUGGAUUUAAAAUCAACUGCAAAUUGCAGAAGAAUUGCACUUCAAGUAGUCUCAAGAGACGGGAGAAGCAGGUCUUCACUAUAAUGGAAGAGGCCAAGAGCUCAAAGAAUGGAAAUCAUGACCCAAGGAAGUCUGUCCGUCUUGUCUGUGAGGAAGGCAAAGCAGUCAAAGUUGCAAAUAAUCAAAAUUAUAAACAUAAUAGAAAUGACAAAUCUGUGAAGGAUGUUGGGAGAAGUUCUCCAAGUGGGAACAACAGCAAAAAAAGUAAACAAAAUGAUGUUUGUCCUGAAAAACAAGGAGAAAAUAAAUCAUGCAAAGUAAAUAGUUGUAUUCCUGGAACUAAAGAUAUGGGGUCAAACGUUCAGGAUCGAAGUCAUGGAAAAGCAAAAAAAAUUUCUAAUUUAUCAGCAACAGUGGAAAACUUGAAACAGACAAAAGCUCAACCAGUUGGAGAAAACUUUCCAGGCUCCCAUCUUUCAGGGAAUGGGGUCAGUACGGAAAGCUUAACAGCUCCACACAAAGGAAAACUAAUGUUGGAAAAUCCACUGGGAGUUCUUACUUUGAAAACUGGUGUUGAUCAGACUGGUGAUCCCUGUAAGACUGCUUCAGAUCAAAGGAAAAUGGAAUAUAAGCCUGAUGACUUCAGUAAAAUAAAGAAUUCUGAACCAACUAGAGAACAUACUUUGGAAGCUGAUUAUUUAGAAAACACCACUGUUAUUGAUGAAUCUAAUAUGACAGCUGAACAACAACUAGGAUUGAAACAAGCUGAAGAACGUCUGGAAAGAGAUUAUAUCUCCCGACUUGAAAAACGCUCCCCAGAAUACACCAACUGUCAGUAUCUAUGCAAGCUCUGCUUAGUUCACAUUGAAAAUAUCCAGGGAGCUCACAAGCAUAUUAAAGAAAAACGUCAUAAGAAAAAUAUAACGGAAAAACAAGAGGAAAAUGAACUGCGUGCCCUCCCACCCCCGUCUUCAUCACAGUUGGCUGCUCUGAGUUUUACACUCAUUGAGGCAGCAAAUGAACAGGGCAUAUCAGAUGAUGACUUCAGAAUUCGUCAAGAAAUUGUAAACGAGAUGGAGAAAAUAAUUCAACAGCCCUUACCAGACUGUUCACUGAGGAUGUAUGGCUCCUGUUUAACUAGAUUUGCUUUUAAGACCAGCGAUGUGAACAUUGACAUAAAGUUCCCCCCUAAGAUGAGUCAACCAGAUGUUCUAAUACAGGUGCUUGAAAUCUUGAAGAAUAGUGCUGUCUACUCAGAUGUGGAGUCAGAUUUCCAUGCCAAAGUUCCAGUUGUCUUUUGCAAAGAUGUUAAAAGUGGUUUGACAUGUAAAGUAAGUGCUAGAAAUGACGUGGCUUGCCUUACGACUGACCUGCUGGCUGCACUUGGGAGACUGGAGCCUGUCCUUAUUCCCUUGGUUUUGGCAUUCCGCUACUGGGCUAGACUCUGUCACAUCGACUGUCAGGCUGAAGGUGGGAUUCCUUCAUAUUCCUUUGCCUUAAUGGUGAUAUUUUUUCUUCAACAAAGAAAACCAAGUAUUUUACCAUCCUAUUUGGGCAAUUGGAUUGAGGGCUUUGAUUCAAAGAGGCCAGAUGACCACCAGCUGAAAGGUAUAGAAGAUGAGGAGUUUGUACGAUGGGAGUACAAACCACCAACAAAUGGUGCAGCAAAAAACUCGUCUGGAGCUGAAAGUAAGACUAAAGUUGAACAACAAAAAAGUGGUGGAAAGAAGGUAACAAGCUCAGAAGUGGACAGCCAAAGUAAUGCAAAGGAGAAACAUGGCAAUUCUCUCUUAGCAUUCAAAACCCCUCACCAAGUUUCCCUGGGGCAACUCUGGUUAGAACUGUUGAAGUUUUACACACUGGAAUUUGCUUUGGAGGAAUAUGUCAUCAGCAUACGGGUACAAGAGCUCUUAACCAGGGAGAAUAAAAACUGGCCUAAAAGGCGAAUAGCCAUUGAAGAUCCUUUUGCACUAAAGAGAAAUGUUGCACGAAGUCUAAAUAGCCAGAUGGUAUUUGAGUACAUCCUGGAGCGGUUUAGGACGGCAUAUAAAUAUUUUGCAUGCCCACAAAGGAAAGAUGGGAUUAAAUCCAAGACAGAUACUAAGAAAAAAGAAAAAGGGAAAAUUACUAAUAAGAAAUCCACAAGAUCUGAAGAGCCUGUAGCCAACUGUUGCCUUCCACAAGAAGAAAAAGUAGUAGAUAAACAAAAUGCAGAAAGUGGAUGUAACGUACCAGAGAGUGAACUUGAAUGUAAUGAAGUGGUAGAAGCUGUAGCCAAAAGAUGUACUUCCAAGAACAUAGACUCUUUGCUACUUUCAACAUUGGACUCUACUUACGAUGAAGACAAAGAAGAAGCUUUAUCCCUUACGUCUAACGAAUGCUGUGAAUUAAAGCAAAAAUCACCUAAAGAGAGGGAUGAUUUAGAAAUUUCAGUUUGUACAACUGAAAGUGAGCUAAGCCACCACUGUAACUGCAGUGAACAUCAGCCCUAUGACACAAACUUUUCUGAUGCUGAAAGUAGACAGAGUUCGGUAACAGAGCCUUCUCAGAAGACUAAGUGCACUGGCACACCAGCUACCUCUCCCAACUGCAAAGCAAUGGUGGAAGCUCAUGAUCUCAAAGAUGAAGGCAGACUGUCUACAGAAGAAAUGCAUUAUGUGUUUGAUAAGUUUAUUUUGACUUCAGGAAAGCCACCAACUAUAGUAUGCAGCAUCUGCAAACGGGAUGGACAUUCCAAAAAUGACUGCCCAGAGGAUUUCAAGAAAAUUGAUCUAAAACCACUACCGCCAAUGACAGACAGAUUUCGGGAAAUACUUGAUAUAGUAUGUAAAAGAUGUUUUGAUGAGUUAUCCCCACCUUUAUCUGAGCAACAAAACAGAGAACAAAUUCUGGCAAGUUUGGAGAGAUUCAUUCGAAAAGAGUAUAACGACAAAGCCCGACUUUGCUUGUUUGGCUCUUCAAAGAACGGCUUUGGAUUUCGGGACAGUGAUCUGGAUAUCUGCAUGACAUUGGAAGGCCAUGAAAAUGCAGAGAAAUUAAACUGUAAAGAAAUAAUAGAAGGUUUGGCAAAAGUUCUGAAGAAGCAUCCAGGUUUGAGAAACAUCUUGCCUAUAACAACAGCCAAAGUGCCUAUAGUAAAAUUUGAACACAGACGAAGUGGCUUAGAAGGGGACAUCAGCUUAUACAAUACACUGGCACAGCAUAACACAAGAAUGCUGGCUACUUAUGCAGCUAUAGAUCCUAGAGUGCAAUAUCUGGGCUAUACAAUGAAAGUUUUUGCAAAGCGCUGCGAUAUUGGUGAUGCAUCCCGCGGUAGUCUGUCUUCAUAUGCCUAUAUUCUUAUGGUUUUGUACUUCCUACAGCAGAGGAAUCCACCAGUUAUUCCAGUUCUUCAGGAGAUAUUUGAUGGAAAACAGAUUCCACAGAGAAUGGUGGAUGGAUGGAACGCCUUUUUCUUUGAUGACAUGGAAGAAUUGAAGAAGCGUCUGCCUUCUCUUGGAAAAAACACUGAGUCACUUGGAGAACUCUGGCUGGGGCUGCUGCGAUUCUACACUGAAGAAUUUGACUUCAAGGAAUAUGUGAUCAGCAUCCGGCAGAAGAAGCUGUUAACUACGUUUGAGAAACAGUGGACAUCCAAAUGUAUUGCCAUUGAAGAUCCUUUUGACUUGAAUCAUAAUCUCGGUGCUGGAGUUUCUAGAAAAAUGACCAAUUUCAUAAUGAAGGCAUUUAUCAAUGGGAGAAAAUUAUUUGGUACCCCGUUCUACCCAACUGUUGGAAGAGAAGCUGAAUACUUUUUUGACUCAAAAGUGCUGACAGAUGGGGAAUUGGCACCCAAUGAUAGAUGUUGUCGUGUCUGUGGAAAAAUUGGUCACUACAUGAAAGAUUGUCCGAAGAGGAGGAGGUUGAAGAAAAAAGAGAAUGAGAAAGACGAUGAAAAAGAAGUGAAAGAAGAUGAUAGAGAAACAAGAGAGAAAAGAUGUUUCAUCUGUGGGGAUGUGGGUCACGUUAGAAGAGAUUGUCCUGAAUUCAAACAAACCCGGCAGAGAAAUAAUAGCGUGCCAGGCACCCAGUUGGUCCGAAGCAUGGUAAAUUCACAGCUAGUGGCUGUGAGUCAGCAGCAGGUGGAGCGACCCUUGCGCACUAGACAGUCAUCAGAAUGUUCUGAUUCGCAUCAGUCAUCUUACUCUCCACAACCUCAACAAUUUACACAGAAUUCCUCUCAGCCAGCCUCCAUUAACCAGACUCAGCCACAACCAAUAUCCCAGUCUAAGCACGUUCCGCAACCACAGCAGGGUGCACAGCCGCCCCAUCAGGUCCAGCUGCCUUUGUUUAACUUUCCCCAAUCUCCCCCAGGUCAGUAUUCCACCUUGCAUAACCUGGGACUACUUCAGAUGCACCAUCACCACCAAAUUCAGCUUCCCAACACUUCUUGGCCUAUUCACGGGCCUGUUAUUCACUCUGCACCGGGUAACCCUCCUCAUUCUACAAAUGUUCCAUUUUCUAUGAGAUCUGGCAGCAACAGCACCACAAAUAACCAGAGCAGUGUAAGCUUGAAUGAUCCCAGUAUCAUCUUUGCGCAGCCUGCUGCCAGGCCCAUGGGAAUCCCCAGCACCUCUCAUGAGGGACACUGGCACAAUCCUGUGACUCCAAACUCACUGGUGAACAAUGGCACUGUGGGGAACUCAGAUCAGGGUUUCCAAGGACAGUUUGGUAAAAUGAACCCUCCUUCUGUCCCUUGGGACCAUGGGACCCCUACCCAUUUUCCUCUCCUCCGAGGAGCGUGGCCUUACAAUAUGCCUCAGAACUACAUGCAGCAGGGAAAUGCCAGCUACCCACCGAACAAACCUUUCUACCCUCAAGCUGGUCCACUGAUGCAGAGUAACCAGCGGUUCUCGCUUCUGUCUCAAGGACACCCACACUUGAAUCUGAAUUACAUUCAACAGAAAAAGUGAAAUUUGAUGGGAUUAUCUGAAACAGGAGAAAACAAAAAGCACCCUGUGACACAGCACUAGCAACGGUUUGGAAACAUCAACAUGACCCGCAGAAACAAGGAAUGGUGUCUGUGGUCAAAGGGAGGUACCCAAUGAAGUAUUUGAUCUCCAGCACUGUAAGAACAGCUUCAGUCCCCAGGGUGAAAUGAGAAGUACGAGCUCAUACAGCAAUAGAAACACCCUUAGGAAACAGGCCAAGCCUUUACCUUUCAGGUGAUUUGGAAUGACUUCUGUGUCUGUGACUCCGAUGAUGCCCUGUGAGAUAAAAGGUUUAUGAGCCAGAUGAAGCACCUGUGCUUCCCUAUUGAAAAGAGGACACAGAUUUUUCUUGCAGUGGAUGUUCUGCUGAUAAAGUCUUGCCCAGUUCCUCUCUAAGUGCCAAAUACCUGGGGAUUUCGAUCGGGAUCUGUGGCGCCUGUCCCGGGACCGGCUCCGGUGCCGUCUGGGGCUCUUGCUGCGGUGCCGCUCCCGCCGUGGAGA